rnacentral:rRNA from 6 species
AACUUUCAACAACGGAUCUCUUGGCUCUCGCAUCGAUGAAGAACGCAGCGAAAUGCGAUAAGUAAUGUGAAUUGCAGAAUUCAGUGAAUCAUCGAAUCUUUGAACGCACCUUGCGCCCCUUGGUAUUCCGAGGGGCAUGCCUGUUUGAGUG